rnacentral:rRNA from 1 species
UACGGAGGGGGCUAGCGUUGUUCGGAAUUACUGGGCGUAAGGCGCACGUAGGCGGUGAAGCAUGUCAGAUGUGAAAGCCCCGAGCUUAACUUGGGAAUUGCAUUUGAAACUGCUUCGCUAGAGGCCGGAAGAGGGUAGUGGAAUUCCCAGUGUAGAGGUGAAAUUCGUAGAUAUUGGGAAGAACACCAGUGGCGAAGGCGGCUACCUGGUCCGGAUCUGACGCUGAGGUGCGAAAGCGUGGGGAGCAAACAGG